AGCGAACGCCGGCGGCAGGCCUAACACAUGCAAGUCGAGCGGCCGUAGCAAUACGGCAGCGGCAGACGGGAGAGUAACACGUGGGAACGCGCCCUUCGGUUCGGGAUAACUCAGGGAAACUUGAGCUAAUACCGGAUACGCCCUUACGGGGAAAGAUUUAUUGCCGAAGGAACGGCCCGCGUCCGAUUAGCUUGUUGGUGAGGUAACGGCUCACCAAGGCGACGAUCGGUAGCUGGUCUGAGAGGAUGACCAGCCUCACUGGGACUGAGACACGGCCCAGACUCCUACGGGAGGCAGCAGUGGGGAAUAUUGGACAAUGGGCGCAAGCUUGAUCCAGCCAUGCCGCGUGGGUGAUGAAGGCCCUAGGGUUGUAAAGCCCUUUCAGCGGGGAAGAUAAUGACGGUACCCGCAGAAGAAGCCCCGGCUAACUUCGUGCCAGCCGCCGCGGUAA
rnacentral:rRNA from 1 species